rnacentral:rRNA from 1 species
CACUCCUGCGGGAGGCAGCAGUGGGGAAUAUUGGACAAUGGGGGCAACCCUGAUCCAGCCAUGCCGCGUGAGUGAUGAAGGCCCUAGGGUUGUAAAGCUCUUUUGUGCGGGAAGAUAAUGACGGUACCGCAAGAAUAAGCCCCGGCUAACUUCGUGCCAGCAGCCGCGGUAAUACGAAGGGGGCUAGCGUUGCUCGGAAUCACUGGGCGUAAAGGGUGCGUAGGCGGGUCUUUAAGUCAGGGGUGAAAUCCUGGAGCUCAACUCCAGAACUGCCUUUGAUACUGAGGAUCUUGAGUCCGGAAGAGGUGAGUGGAACUGCGAGUGUAGAGGUGAAAUUCGUAGAUAUUCGCAAGAACACCAGUGGCGAAGGCGGCUCACUGGUCCGGUACUGACGCUGAGGCACGAAAGCGUGGGGAGCAAACAGGAUUAGAAACCCCUGUAGUCCCAUG